rnacentral:ribozyme from 13 species
UGAAGGAACUAAAUCGGAAAAAAUAGAUAAUGAACAAUAAGGAGAAGACUUCCCGACCAGAACAAUACAAUCUUCAAACCAUUGUUCCUUGUCUUCUAUCUUUCCUUCUCUCCCUCUGCUUACUGUUCUAAUUUUUAUUUCU